GAACACUGGUGUCUCCAGUGUUCAGCACAGUGAGAGUGAACGUAGUCUGCAGGAUUGCUGUGAGGGGUCCAGGGGACCCCACUCUGUGAAAGACCUGCCUCCGUGACAGGGACACACAGCAGGCAUUCAGAAAGUGGGAUCUUUCUCCCUACCCGCCUCCCACCUUCCCUUUGCGGAUGUGAGCUGAAGCUCCACCAAGUCCCAGCACAGUGGCAUUCAAUCAACAAAAGCCAUGACGAUUAUUAUCUCUGUGGCCCAGCUUACAAAAAGCCAGAGCUCCCCUUCCUAUUUACCGGCGAGCCACGUGAAGUCCUCUUUUGCUCACACACGAUCGACUUCAAGCCACAGAGAUGUAGAAAUGGAAUUACUCUGCCUUUCACCUUUUGAGAAACUGCCAGACUGUCUUCCAAAGAGGCUGCACCAUUUUACUUUCCCCACCCGCAGUGUAUGCGGGUUCCAGCCGUCCCCCGUCCUCGCCAGCACUUACUAGUGUUUGCCUUUCUGACCACAGUCCUCCUAGAGCAGAGACUGGAAACAAAAGACAUGCUUUCAAGCUCUUUGAGACCUCAAAAAAAUUUCAAUUUAUUUAGUCCAAAGAAAAAUGACUUCCUUCAACACCAACAAAAACUCAUGUAUUUUGGAAUUGUAUUUUAUCUGGAACUUCAGAUGUGUAAACGGUGUCCGGGGAGAAAACGGAGAUUCAGGCAGAAGGCAAAUCUGUCCGCGGGUGGUAAAGGACUCCAAUCCAAAACUUCUUGGUUAUUUUUCCAUAUUCAGCCCAGUGCCUCGGACACCCCAUGACCACCAACAAGAGCACUUAACACACGGAUUUCCACAAAAAAAUUGUUUCUGUGAUGGUGUUAUAGGCAGACUGGUGAAAUCUACCAAUGCUGCUACCUAAAAAGUAAAACCAACAGAGAAGAAAACACAAUCGGGAGUAGACAAAAUUAACUUUUGCUCUGAAUUAAGUUCUCGGCCGCAAACCUCAUUCCUAAAGCACAAGCACCUUUCCAGUAUCCUCUGUGAGAAGAGAAGGGUAGUAGUUCCUACCGACCAGGAUGUGCGAUACUCGGCCGAUAUUUUAGAGAACAACAAUUUCUGGACUAACAAACUGGAGUUGUACAACGGAGAGCAGCCUGAAGCUGCCUUCACAACUAGUAAUAAAAUCAGCUUCAAAGGAG